rnacentral:rRNA from 1 species
UUACCUACGGGUGGCAGCAGUGGGGAAUUUUGGACAAUGGGCGAAAGCCUGAUCCAGCCAUUCCGCGUGCAGGAUGAAGGCCCUCGGGUUGUAAACUGCUUUUGUACAGAACGAAAAAGCUCCGGCUAAUACCUGGAGUCCAUGACGGUACUGUAAGAAUAAGCACCGGCUAACUACGUGCCAGCAGCCGCGGUCAUACGUAGGGUGCAAGCGUUAAUCGGAAUUCAUGGGCGUAAAGCGUGCGAAGGCGGUUUUGUAAGACAGAGGUGAAAUCCCCGGGCUCAACCUGGGAACUGCCUUUGUGACUGCAAGGCUGGAGUGCGGCAGAGGGGGAUGGAAUUCCGCGUGUAGCAGUGAAAUGCGUAGAUAUGCGGAGGAACACCGAUGGCGAAGGCAAUCCCCUGGGCCUGCACUGACGCUCAUGCACGAAAGCGUGGGGAGCAAACAGGAUUAGAUACCCGAGUAGUC